rnacentral:rRNA from 1 species
GGGGAAUAUUGGACAAUGGGGGGAACCCUGAUCCAGCCAUGCCGCAUGUGUGAAGAAGGCCUUCGGGUUGUAAACUGCUUUUGUACGGAACGAAAAGACUCCUUCUAAUAAAGGGGGCCCAUGACGGUACCGUAAGAAUAAGCACCGGCUAACUACGUGCCAGCAGCCGCGGUAAUACGUAGGGUGCAAGCGUUAAUCGGAAUUACUGGGCGUAAAGCGUGCGCAGGCGGUUAUAUAAGACAGAUGUGAAAUCCCCGGGCUCAACCUGGGAACUGCAUUUGUGACUGUAUAGCUAGAGUACGGUAGAGGGGGAUGGAAUUCCGCGUGUAGCAGUGAAAUGCGUAGAUAUGCGGAGGAACACCGAUGGCGAAGGCAGCCCCCUGGGUCGAUACUGACGCUCAUGCACGAAAGCGUGGGGAGCAAACA